GAGGUUAUAGUUCAAUUGGUUAGAAUACCCGUUUGUGGCACGGAAGGUUCUCUGUUCAAGUCAGGGUAUCCUCC
rnacentral:tRNA from 5 species